rnacentral:rRNA from 1 species
UUUACAAUGUAGAGUUUGAUCCUGGCUCAGGAUGAACGCUAGCUACAGGCUUAACACAUGCAAGUCGCGGGGCAGCAUGAAUUUAGCUUG